GAACGAGAAGCUAACUUCUGAUUCCUUCGGGAUGAUGAGGUUAGCAGAAAGUGGCGAACGGGUGAGUAACGCGUGGGUAAUCUACCCUGUUUAGUGGGGGAUAACCCUCCGAAAGGAGGGCUAAUACCGCAUAAUAUCUUCUUCUCUACAAGAGAAGAAGAUUAAAGAUGGCCUCUAUACUAUGCUAUCGCUUCAGGAUGAGCCUGCGUCCUAUUAGUUAGUKGGUGGGGUAAUGGCCUACCAAGGCGACAAUGGGUAGCCGGUCUGAGAGGAUGUACGGCCACACUGGGACUGAGAUACGGCCCAGACUCCUACGGGAGGCAGCAGUGGGGAAUAUUGCGCAAUGGGGGAAACCCUGACGCAGCGACGCCGCGUGGAUGAUGAAGGCCCUUGGGUUGUAAAAUCCUGUUCUGGGGGAAGAAAGCUUAAAGGUCCAAUAAACCCUUAAGCCUGACGGUACCCCAAGAGAAAGCUCCGGCUAAUUAUGUGCCAGCAGCCGCGGUAAUACAUAAGGAGCAAGCGUUAUCCGGAAUUAUUGGGCGUAAAGAGCUCGUAGGCGGUCUUAAAAGUCAGGUGUGAAACUACUCAAGCUUAACCUGAUAAGGUCAUCUGAAACUUUAAGACUUGAGGUUAGAAUGAGGAAAGUGGAAUUCCCGGUGUAGCGGUGAAAUGCGUAUUAUAUCGGGAGGAACACCAGUGGCGAAGGCGGCUUUCCUGGUCUAUCUCUGACGCUGAGGAGGCGAAAGCUAGGGGAGCAAACGGGAUAGAUACCCCGGUAGUCCUAGCUGUAAACGAUGGAUACUAGGUGUGGGAGGUAUCGACCCCUUCUGUGCCGUAGCUAACGCAUUAAGUAUCCCGCCUGGGGAGUACGGUCGCAAGGCUGAAACUCAAAGGAAUUGACGGGGGCCCGCACAAGCGGUGGAGCAUGUGGUUUAAUUCGACGCAACGCGAAGAACCUUACCGGGACUUGACAUUAUCUUGCCCGUCUAAGAAAUUAGAUCCUCUUCCUUUCGGGGAAGACAGGAUAACAGGUGGUGCAUGGUUGUCGUCAGCUCGUGUCGUGAGAUGUUGGGUUAAGUCCCACAACGAGCGCAACCCUUGUGCCUAGUUGCUAACUUGUUUUACAAGUGCACUCUAGGCAGACUGCCGCAGAUAAUGCGGAGGAAGGUGGGGAUGACGUCAAAUCAUCAUGCCCCUUACGUCCCGGGCUACACACGUGCUACAAUGGCCUGUACAGAGGGUAGCGAAAGAGCGAUCUUAAGCCAAUCCCAAAAAGCAGGCCCCAGUUCGGAUUGGAGGCUGCAACUCGCCUCCAUGAAG
rnacentral:rRNA from 2 species